rnacentral:rRNA from 1 species
AACGAACGCUGGCGGCAGGCUUAACACAUGCAAGUCGAACGCCCCGCAAGGGGAGUGGCAGACGGGUGAGUAACGCGUGGGAAUCUACCUAGUUCUACGGAACAACAGUUGGAAACGACUGCUAAUACCGUAUACGCCCUAUGGGGGAAAGAUUUAUCGGAAUUAGAUGAGCCCGCGUACGAUUAGCUAGUUGGUGAGGUAAUGGCUCACCAAGGCGACGAUCUUUAGCUGGUCUGAGAGGAUGAUCAGCCACACUGGGACUGAGACACGGCCCAGACUCCUACGGGAGGCAGCAGUGGGGAAUAUUGGACAAUGGGCGCAAGCCUGAUCCAGCCAUGCCGCGUGAGUGAUGAAGGCCUUAGGGUUGUAAAGCUCUUUCAGUAGGGAAGAUAAUGACGGUACCUACAGAAGAAGCCCCGGCUAACUUCGUGCCAGCCGCCGCGGUAAUAC